rnacentral:rRNA from 1 species
AACGAACGCUGGCGGCAUGCCUAACACAUGCAAGUCGAACGAGACCUUCGGGUCUAGUGGCGCACGGGUGCGUAACGCGUGGGAACCUGCCCUUAGGUUCGGAAUAACUCCCCGAAAGGGGUGCUAAUACCGGAUAAUGUCUUCGGACCAAAGAUUUAUCGCCUUUGGAUGGGCCCGCGUUGGAUUAGCUAGUUGGUAGGGUAAAAGCCUACCACGGCGACGAUCCAUAGCUGGUCUGAGAGGAUGAUCAGCCACACUGGGACUGAGACACGGCCCAGACUCCUACGGGAGGCAGCAGUGGGGAAUAGUGGACAAUGGGCGAAAGCCUGAUCCAGCAAUGCCGCGUGAGUGAUGAAGGCCUUAGGGUUGUAAAGCUCUUUUACCCGGGAUGAUAAUGACAGUACCGGGAGAAUAAGCUCCGGCUAACUCCGUG